rnacentral:rRNA from 1 species
AGCAGCCGCCGCGGUAAUACGUAGGUGGCAAGCGUUGUCCGGAAUUAUUGGGCGUAAAGGGCUCGCAGGCGGUUUCUUAGGUCUGAUGUGAAAGCCCCCGGCUCAACCGGGGAGGGUCAUUGGAAACUGGGAAACUUGAGUGCAGAAGAGGAGAGUGGAAUUCCACGUGUAGCGGUGAAAUGCGUAGAGAUGUGGAGGAACACCAGUGGCGAAGGCGACUCUCUGGUCUGUAACUGACGCUGAGGAGCGAAAGCGUGGGGAGCGAACAGGAUUAGAUACCCCUGUAGUCCCUGUCUCUUAUAC